rnacentral:rRNA from 1 species
UCUUUAUGAUUAUAAUUUUAAGUUGACUCUGCCCAAUGAUGGAUAUUUAAUGGCUGCAGUAUUUUAACUGUACAAAGGUAGCAUAAUAAAUUGUUUUUUAAUUGAAAGCUUGGAUGAAUGAGGUGAUAAAAUAUAAACUUUAUUUAAAUAAAUUAUUGAAAUUUUCUUUUAAGUUAAAAGACUUAAAUUUAUUUAAGGGACGAGAAGACCCUGUAGAAUUUUAUAUAAAUUUAUUUAUUUGUUAAUUAAUAAAAUUUAUAUUUUUUUGGGAGGGAAAUUAAAAUUUUAAACUUUAAUAAAUUUUUUACAUAUAUAUAUGGGUAUGAAUGAUUUUUAAUUAUAAAAUUGUAGAUUAAAUUACCUUAGGGAUAACAGCGUAAUAUUUUUUGAAAGUUCUUAUAGAAAGAAAUGAUU